ACUGCUUCCCCAAAGGCAGGCACAUUUUCACCAUAUCUUUUUCAUGAAUCUUCACAGAGGCAGUGUCUGUGCUUUCCUGCUGUUAACCGCAUGAACUCAAGGCUGAAAAUAUUUGCACUAAAGAGUCGAAGAUUAAUGCCCAAAAAUGAGAUAGAAAAUGAGCGACAGAGCAUGAAUAGAGGGGCUGAGCAGGGACCCUGAUGAAAUCCCAAGACUUGGAGAUCAUGACCUGAGCAGAAGGCAGAUACUUAGCCAUUUGAGCUACCCAGAAUUUCAUAUAGAUACUUUUCAGUUCGCCAAGGCCCCCAGGGAAAGUAAAUGUGGAGAAAAAGCUGAGGCCAACCCUCAACGGAGAUGUUCAUGUCUGAGAAAUAAACUUUUUGACUUUCCCAACUAAUUCAAUGCUUAGGCCAAUAAAGUAA
rnacentral:lncRNA from 1 species